rnacentral:ncRNA from 1 species
GAUAACUGGCUUGUGGCGGCCAAGCGUUCAUAGCAACGUCGCUUUUUGAUCCUUCGAUGUCAGCUCUUCCUAUCAUUGUGAAGCAGAAUUGUGAAGCAGAAUUCACCAAGCGUUGGAUUGUUCACCCACUAAUAGGGAACGUGAGCUGUGUUUAGACCGUUGUGAGACAGGUU